rnacentral:rRNA from 1 species
UGCGAGUCAUUGUAGCAAUACAAGGCAGACGGCUCAGUAACGCGUAGUCAAUCUACCCUAUGGACGGGAAUAACCUCGGGAAACUGAGAAUAAUGCCCGACAGAACAUUAUACCUGGAACGGUUUAUGUUUCAAAUGAUUUAUCGCCGUAGGAUGGGACUGCGGCCUAUCAGUUUGUUGGUGAGGUAAUGGCCCACCAAGACUAUUACAGGUACGGGCUCUGAGAGGAGUAGCCCGGAGAUGGGUACUGAGACACGGACCCAGGCCCUAUGGGGCACAGCAGGCGAGAAAACUUUGCAAUGUGCGAACGCACGACAAGGUUAAUCCGAGUGGUUUCUGCUAAAGAAACCUUUUGCUAGUCCUAGAAACACUAGUGAAUAAGGGGUGGGCAAGUUCUGGUGUCAGCCGCCGCGGUAAAACCAGCACCUCAAGUGGUCAGGAUGAUUAUUGGGCCUAAAGCAUCCGUAGCUCGUUUUGUAAGUUUUCGGUUAAAUCCAUACGCUUAACGUAUGGGCUGCCGGGAAUACUGCAUAACUAGGAAGUGGGAGAGGUAGACGGUACUCGGUAGGAAGGGGUAAAAUCCUUUGAUCUAUUGAUGACCACCUGUGGCGAAGGCGGUCUACCAGAACACGUUCGACGGUGAGGGAUGAAAGCUGGGGGAGCAAACCGGAUUAGAUACCCGGGUAGUCCCAGCUGUAAACUAUGCAAACUCAGUGAUGCAUUGGCUUGUGGCCAAUGCAGUGCUGCAGGGAAGCCGUUAAGUUUGCCGCCUGGGAAGUACGUACGCAAGUAUGAAACUUAAAGGAAUUGGCGGGGGAGCACCACAAGGGGUGAAGCCUGCGGU